UGUCGAAGUUUUCCUCGGUAGUUAACUGCAGCUAGUUCCAUAAUUCGGCAGGUAACUGCCGAGGGACAU
rnacentral:pre_miRNA from 1 species